ACCUGCGGAAGGAUCAUUACCGAGUGCGGGCUGCCUCCGGGCGCCCAACCUCCCACCCGUGACUACCUAACACUGUUGCUUCGGCGGGGAGCCCCCCAGGGGGCGAGCCGCCGGGGACCACUGAACUUCAUGCCUGAGAGUGAUGCAGUCUGAGCCUGAAUACAAAUCAGUCAAAACUUUCAACAAUGGAUCUCUUGGUUCCGGCAUCGAUGAAGAACGCAGCGAACUGCGAUAAGUAAUGUGAAUUGCAGAAUUCAGUGAAUCAUCGAGUCUUUGAACGCACAUUGCGCCCCCUGGCAUUCCGGGGGGCAUGCCUGUCCGAGCGUCAUUGCUGCCCUCAAGCCCGGCUUGUGUGUUGGGUCGUCGUCCCCCCCCCGGGGGACGGGCCCGAAAGGCAGCGGCGGCACCGUGUCCGGUCCUCGAGCGUAUGGGGCUUUGUCACCCGCUCGAUUAGGGCCGGCCGGGCGCCAGCCGGCGUCUCCAACCUUAUUUUUCUCAGGUUGACCUCGGAUCAGGUAGGGAUACCCGCUGAACUUAAGCAUAUCAAUAAGCGGAGGAAAAGAAACCAACCGGGAUUGCCUCAGUAACGGCGAGUGAAGCGGCAAGAGCUCAAAUUUGAAAGCUGGCCCCUUCGGGGUCCGCGUUGUAAUUUGCAGAGGAUGCUUCAGGUGCGGCCCCUGUCUAAGUGCCCUGGAACGGGCCGUCAGAGA
rnacentral:misc_RNA from 1 species